AGAGAUAACGAUGUGGUGGGAGGAAUAUAUGCGAAGAGGUGGGGAGAUAGAAGAGAGAGAUGGGUGAGGGAAAAGAGGGGGUGGGGGAGAGGAGGGUAAAGAAAUGCUAAAGAAAACAGUGAAAGAGCAGAACAGACAAAGAGAGAGGUGAACGUGACAGAGGGAGUGGAGGAAUGGGUUAGUAGAGAGAGGAGAGUGGAGGAAUGGGUUGGUAGAGAGAGGAGAGUAGAGUAAUGGGUUGGUAGAGAGAGGAGAGUAGAGGAAUGGGUUAGUAGAGAGAGGUAGUGGAGGAAUGGGUUGGUAGAGAGAGGAGAGUAGAGGAAUGGGUUGGUAGAGAGAGGAGAGUAGAGGAAUGGGUUAGUAGAGAGAGGUAGUGGAGGAAUGGGUUGGUAGAGAGAGGAGAGUAGAGGAAUGGGUUGGUAGAGAGAGGAGAGUGGAGGAAUGGGUUGGUAGAGAGAGGUAGUGGAGGAAUGGGUUGGUAGAGAGAGGAGAGUAGAGGAAUGGGUUGGUAGAGAGAGGAGAGUAGAGGAAUGGGUUGGUAGAGAGAGGAGAGUAGAGGAAUGGGUUGG
ensembl:lncRNA